rnacentral:ncRNA from 1 species
CAACUGCCUCAAGGCGUAUUACAACUCUUGAGAUAAUUGAUGAGAAGGGCGUCCAGUUUGGCAACGAACUGGAGUAUAACUGGGUGAAUUGCUGGAACUUCCUAAAGCUUCAUCAACCACAACGUAACUGGAAACGGUCAGCGUGAUGGUUUGAAAAUGCUGAAGAUGCAACAAUGGAUAAUCAGCAGCCAAGCUCCUGUGAGGAAACUCUGGAGAAGGUUCAACGACUAGAGAAUACGGUCUAAGGCAAAGCUAUGACGAUGAAUCUCGUAGGGCAGCACAUGCUGUUCGAAGUGCCCAGCUCCAUGGAAAACGUGGAUGAAGAUAUAGUCUAUUCUGUAGUCGAAAGAUACAG